AGCAGCCGCGGUAAUUCCAGCUCCAAUAGCGUAUAUUAAAGUUGCUGCAGUUAAAAAGCUCGUAGUUGAAUUUCGGGACCAUCAUGUUGGUCGUGCCUAGGUACGUACUGGCAUUGUUGGUUUCUCCCUUCUGACGAACCAUGAUGUCAUUAAUUUGGUGUCUUGGGGAAUCAGGACUGUUACUUUGAAAAAUUAGAGUGUUUAAAGCAGGAUCGCGCUUGAAUACAUUAGCAUGGAAUAAUGAAAUAGGACGUUUGAUUCUAUUUUGUUGGUUUCUAGGAUCGACGUAAUGAUUAAUAGGGAUAGUUGGGGGCAUUAGUAUUCAAUUGUCAGAGGUGAAAUUCUUGGAUUUAUUGAAGACUGACUACUGCGAAAGCAUUUGCCAAGGAUGUUUUCAUUAAUCA
rnacentral:misc_RNA from 1 species